rnacentral:rRNA from 1 species
UACAGAGGUCUCAAGCGUUGUUCGGAUUCAUUGGGCGUAAAGGGGUGCGUAGGCGGCGCGGUAAGUCGGAUGUGAAAUCUCGGGGCUUAACUCCGAAACUGCAUUCGAUACUGCCGUGCUUGAGGACUGGAGAGGAGACUGGAAUUUACGGUGUAGCGGUGAAAUGCGUAGAUAUCGUAAGGAAGACCAGUGGCGAAGGCGCUCUGCUGGACCAUAACUGACACUCAGGGACGAAAGCUAGGGGAGCGAACAGG